UACGAAGGGUGCAAGCGUUACUCGGAAUUACUGGGCGUAAAGCGUGCGUAGGUGGUUUCUUAAGUCUGCUGCGAAAGCCCCGGGCUCAACCUGGGAAUUGCAGUGGAUACUGGGGAGCUAGAGUGCGGUAGAGGGUAGUGGAAUUCCCGGUGUAGCGGUGAAAUGCGUAGAGAUCGGGAGGAACACCAGUGGCGAAGGCGGCUACCUGGACCAGCACUGACACUGAGGCACGAAAGCGUGGGGAGCAAACAGG
rnacentral:rRNA from 1 species